UACAGAGGGUGCAAGCGUUGCUCGGAUUUACUGGGCGUAAAGCGUACGCAGACGGCUGAGAAGGUCGGACGUGAAAGCCCCGGGCUCAACCCGGGAACUGCGUCCGAAACCGUUCGGCUCGAGUAUGGGAGAGGGAAGCGGAAUUCCUGGUGUAGAGGUGAAAUUCGUAGAUAUCAGGAGGAACACCGGCGGCGAAGGCGGCUUCCUGGCCCAUUACUGACGUUCAGGUACGAAAGCGUGGGUAGCAAACAGG
rnacentral:rRNA from 1 species